AAUGAAGUGUCUGACGAAAAGAAUUAUUUUGAUAGAAUAAAACAUGUAACCCCUUACCUUCAUUA
rnacentral:tRNA from 1 species